rnacentral:rRNA from 1 species
CCAAUAGCGUAUAUUAAAGUUGUUGCAGUUAAAAAGCUCGUAGUUGAAUUUCGAAACCGGUUUACUGGUCGUGCUUUUGUACGUACUGGUAUUAUUGGUUUCUCCUUUCUGACGAAUCAUAAUGCCAUUAAUUUGGUGUUUUGGGGAAUCAGGACUGUUACUUUGAAAAAAUUAGAGUGUUUAAAGCAGGCUCACGCUUG